rnacentral:rRNA from 1 species
GUUUCCGUAGGUGAACCUGCUGAUGGAUCAUUGCAGAGUCUUUUCGACAAGUUUUCAUAGUUUGAAAAGGCGAAGCAGCCGCGGCUUUGUCUCGGAUGAGUUUAUGAGUCCCAAGACUAGUGGGCAGUGGGAACUAGUAACUUUGUCCGACGUACAGGUUCUAGUUGUUGUCUCUUCUCCCGACGAAAUGCUCAUAAACGAACAACGGCUGACUGGCUCCUGGGUAACGCUGAGCAGUUGUAAAUAAUGUCCGUGACUGUGUUGAGGCGUUACGAGAGUCCCUUGUCUGUGGCCAGCCUUCAGGUCGCGGAGGGAGUAGGAUCAAUGAGUACCGGCGUGGUGCUGCCAGUCGGAUUUUUUUUCAAUAAAUUUUUUACACACAAAAGAAAUACGUUAGUCUUGCCGGUGGAUCACUCGGCUCGUAGGUCGAUGAAGAUCGCAGCCAAAUGCGAUAGUUAGUGUGAACUGCAGAUAUUCUGAGCACUAAAGUAUCGAAUGUAAAUUACGCCUUGGGUUUUAUCCCUUGGCACGACUGGUUCAGGGUCAUUUCCACAAAAAACAAAGCCUUGUUGUUGAGAAGAGCAGAAUUAUGGGAGCUCAGGCCGUUUGAGUUGUGCAUAAUUCUGAACAUUGUCGACUCCUAUCUUUGAUUUUGAGUUUUAGGAUCGCUAUGGCAAAGAGCCGUUUUAGCCAAAUGCGAUCAGAACUCUCUCAAGGUGGAGGGAAAGGGCGUCAGCAAUUUUCAUACAUUGACCUGAACUCAGACGUGACUACCCGCUGAACUUAAGCAUAU